rnacentral:rRNA from 1 species
UACGUAGGGGCCUAGCGUUGUCCGGAUUUAUUGGGCGUAAAGAGCUCGUAGGCGGUUCGGCAAGUCGGAUGUGAAAUCUCCACGCUUAACGUGGAGGGGCCAUUCGAAACUGCCGUGACUCGAGUCCGGUAGGGGAGAAUGGAAUUCCCGGUGUAGCGGUGAAAUGCGCAGAUAUCGGGAGGAACACCGGUGGCGAAGGCGGUUCUCUGGGCCUGACCUGACGCUGAGGAGCGAAAGCGUGGGGAGCGAACAGG